rnacentral:rRNA from 1 species
UUGAACGCUGGCGGCAGGCCUAACACAUGCAAGUCGAACGGUAACAGGAAGCAGCUUGCUGCUUCGCUGACGAGUGGCGGACGGGUGAGUAAUGUCUGGGAAACUGCCUGAUGGAGGGGGAUAACUACUGGAAACGGUAGCUAAUACCGCAUAACGUCGCAAGACCAAAGAGGGGGACCUUCGGGCCUCUUGCCAUCGGAUGUGCCCAGAUGGGAUUAGCUAGUAGGUGGGGUAACGGCUCACCUAGGCGACGAUCCCUAGCUGGUCUGAGAGGAUGACCAGCCACACUGGAACUGAGACACGGUCCAGACUCCUACGGGAGGCAGCAGUGGGGAAUAUUGCACAAUGGGCGCAAGCCUGAUGCAGCCAUGCCGCGUGUAUGAAGAAGGCCUUCGGGUUGUAAAGUACUUUCAGCGGGGAGGAAGGCGAUAAGGUUAAUAACCUUGUCGAUUGACGUUACCCGCAGAAGAAGCACCGGCUAACUCCGUGCCAGCAGCCGCGGUAAUACGGAGGGUGCAAAGCGUUAAUCGGAAUUACUGGGCGUAAAGCGCACGCCAGGCGGUCUGUCAAGUCGGAUGUGAAAUCCCCGGGCUCAACCUGGGAACUGCAUUCGAAACUGGCAGGCUAGAGUCUUGUAGAGGGGGGUAGAAUUCCAGGUGUAGCGGUGAAAUGCGUAGAGAUCUGGAGGAAUACCGGUGGCGAAGGCGGCCCCCUGGACAAAGACUGACGCUCAGGUGCGAAAGCGUGGGGAGCAAACAGGAUUAGAUACCCUGGUAGUCCACGCCGUAAACGAUGUCGACUUGGAGGUUGUGCCCUUGAGGCGUGGCUUCCGGAGCUAACGCGUUAAGUCGACCGCCUGGGGAGUACGGCCGCAAGGUUAAAACUCAAAUGAAUUGACGGGGGCCCGCACAAGCGGUGGAGCAUGUGGUUUAAUUCGAUGCAACGCGAAGAACCUUACCUACUCUUGACAUCCAGAGAACUUUCCAGAGAUGGAUUGGUGCCUUCGGGAACUCUGAGACAGGUGCUGCAUGGCUGUCGUCAGCUCGUGUUGUGAAAUGUUGGGUUAAGUCCCGCAACGAGCGCAACCCUUAUCCUUUGUUGCCAGCGGUUAGGCCGGGAACUCAAAGGAGACUGCCAGUGAUAAACUGGAGGAAGGUGGGGAUGACGUCAAGUCAUCAUGGCCCUUACGAGUAGGGCUACACACGUGCUACAAUGGCGCAUACAAAGAGAAGCGACCUCGCGAGAGCAAGCGGACCUCAUAAAGUGCGUCGUAGUCCGGAUUGGAGUCUGCAACUCGACUCCAUGAAGUCGGAAUCGCUAGUAAUCGUGGAUCAGAAUGCCACGGUGAAUACGUUCCCGGGCCUUGUACACACCGCC